GUUUUUAUAGUGUAACUAACAUAUUACUUUUUCAUUGUAAAGCUGAAAUACUAUUUCUAAAAACA
rnacentral:tRNA from 1 species